rnacentral:rRNA from 1 species
AUUGAACGCUGGCGGCAGGCCUAACACAUGCAAGUCGAACGGUAACAGGAAGCAGCUUGCUGCUUCGCUGACGAGUGGCGGACGGGUGAGUAAUGUCUGGGAAGCUGCCUGAUGGAGGGGGAUAACUACUGGAAACGGUAGCUAAUACCGCAUAAUGUCGCAAGACCAAAGAGGGGGACCUUCGGGCCUCUUGCCAUCGGAUGUGCCCAGAUGGGAUUAGCUUGUUGGUGGGGUAACGGCUCACCAAGGCGACGAUCCCUAGCUGGUCUGAGAGGAUGACCAGCCACACUGGAACUGAGACACGGUCCAGACUCCUACGGGAGGCAGCAGUGGGGAAUAUUGCACAAUGGGCGCAAGCCUGAUGCAGCCAUGCCGCGUGUAUGAAGAAGGCCUUCGGAUUGUAAAGUACUUUCAGCGGGGAGGAAGGGAGUAAAGUUAAUACCUUUGCUCAUUGACGUUACCCGCAGAAGAAGCACCGGCUAACUCCGUG